AGGAAAUCCACAAGGUGAGACCUAUGAUUGCCUCAGUUCUGUGCCUUUAUGCAAUUUCCUGAGUGCAACACAGGAAGCUGGAAUCCAAUCAGAUACACUGGUUCCUCUGGGCUAAAGAAGCAGAGAUCGGAGUCCAGAGAAUGUGGCAGAAUCUGAAGAGAAAUUCAUCAAAAAGGGAGACUCCAGAAGUCAUGUGGGCUUCCAGUGGGUCUUCGGCUGCAGGAGGCCUUGACAACUACGGGCUCACUGUGAAGUCAACUUUAUUGUUCCAGCUGAGCAGCUUCCUACGAGUCACUGUGGCUCAGUCAGACCCUCAGCAAUCACAAGAACGCAAGAGGAAUUAGAGAUAAUUAGAGGUGAAGAAAAUGAGAAGUCUAUUCAAAUGUAUUUCUAGCAACACAAUAACCAAAGUGGUGACUAGAACUUUCCAACAGGCAAACUUUAUUGGGUCUGUGACACUGAAAAGAGACGAGCAUGUAGGCCCAGCUGGGGCUCUACAGGGGACUCUGGGCAGCCAAAAGUUACAGGUGACUGGGAAUGUGAAAAAAGAGGCCACACGUUUGACAAAGGAAUACAGAAAGAAGGGAAGAAAAUCGUCCAGACCAGUCUGGACCAGACCUGAAAAUCGCUGCCAUGACCUUGUUACUCAGAGCACUUUCCACACACUUACACUAAGGAGUCAAAUCAUCCCCUUCACUCCAUUCUCCUCUACAAGUAAGCUCUGUCUUCAGGAUUAUUUACAUGACCAUCCCUUCUUCGCAAGGACAAGAUGUCUAUGAAUUACACUGGAGUCAAAUUGGCCUCGUGGAAACAAACUGCCCUUUUUCAGACAAGGGUCCAUGGAGCUUAUGAAGAGGGCAGAAAAAGCCUUAGGUUCUCUUCCAAAUGCUCAUGGUUCUGGG
rnacentral:lncRNA from 1 species